rnacentral:rRNA from 1 species
UACGUAGGUGGCGAGCGUUGUCCGGAUUUACUGGGCGUAAAGAGCGCGCAGGCGGUCGUACAAGUCGCGUGUGAAAGCCCCGGCUCAACUGGGGAGGGUCACGCGAUACUGUUCGACUCGAAGGCAGGAGAGGGAAGCGGAAUUCCCGGUGUAGUGGUGGAAUGCGUAGAUAUCGGGAGGAACACCAGUGGCGAAGGCGGUUACCUGGAGCUUUGCUGACGCUGAUGCGCGAAAGCGUGGGGAGCGAUCCGG